GCAUCCGUGGCAGAGUGGCUGAUAGCAGCGGACUCAUAAUCCGCCCCUAAUUAGGCAGCGCUGGUUCGAAUCCAGCCGGAUGCA
rnacentral:tRNA from 1 species